rnacentral:rRNA from 1 species
UACGUAGGGAGCAAGCGUUGUUCGGAUUUACUGGGCGUAAAGGGCGCGUAGGCGGCCUGUCAAGUCAACUGUGAAAUCUCCGGGCUUAACUCGGAACGGUCAGUUGAUACUGUCAGGCUAGAGUGCAGAAGGGGCAAUCGGAAUUCUUGGUGUAGCGGUGAAAUGCGUGGAUAUCAAGGGGAACACCUGAGGUGAAGACGGGUUGCUGGGCUGACACUGACGCUGAGGCGCGAAAGCCAGGGGAGCAAACGGG